rnacentral:rRNA from 1 species
UACGGGGGGGGUAAGCGUUGUUCGGAAUUACUGGGCGUAAAGGGCUCGUAGGCGGCCAACUAAGUCAUACGUGAAAUCCCUCAGCUUAACUGGGGAACUGCGUGUGAUACUGGAUGGCUUGAAUUCGGGAGAGGGAUGCAGAAUUCCAGGUGUAGCGGUGAAAUGCGUAGAUAUCUGGAGGAAUACCGGUGGCGAAGGCGGCAUCCUGGACCGACAUUGACGCUGAACGACGAAAGCUAGGGGAGCAAACGGG